CUGUCAUCUCAUCAUCCACGCACAUCUUCAAAGAGGAACACAGCAUCAAAAUCUGGCGGAGGAACAGAUACUUCUGUCUUCACUGAUUAAACUGAUCGUGCAGCUUGAAUCUUGGUGCCAGGAUAAUGUUGAGUAAAGCCGUUGCCACACUCGCGAGCUCUCAGACUGCUGCCAGAUGAUGAUGGAAGUUGCUGUCUUGAGCUCAGACUUUUCUCCCUGGAGAGAAGGAGGAAGAGAGGUGACCUGAUCGAGGUGUAAAAGAUUUGAGCAGAGCCUGUAAGCCAACAAUGAGUGUACACAUCACGUUUGUCAAUGAAUUAGCUGAAGCUUCAAUCCAUGGAGAAAGGAUUGCACCCGUGAGAUAACGGUGUGAACGCAUUGUACAGAGGAGAUCGGAAAGAAAUGACCUUAAUGUCAUAAAUUUCACUUGAGGAAGCAGCGGCAUUUGGUAUGAUUGCUGGACUGUUAAUCCAGAGACACAGAUAAUGUACUGGGGACUGGGUUUGAAUCUUGCCCCAGCAGACGGUGAAAUUUGAAUUCAAUAAAAAUCUGGAAUUACAAGUCCAAUGAUGAUAAUGGACUCAUUGUUGAUUAGCAGGGAACAACCCAACUGGUUCACUAAUGCCCUUGAGGGAAGGAAACUGUCAUCUUGACCUAGUCUGACCUACAUCUGACUCGUGACCCACAGCAAUGUGGUUGACUCUUAACUGCCCUCUGGGAUGGGCAAUAAAUGAUGCCAUCGUGAAUGAAGAAAAACAUGCGGUUGAUAGUUAAAGACACCUCUCCACUUAUAGGUAAGAACUUGACUAGCCAUGAUUCAGGCCUGAUUCUUAAGUGGUAAAAUAUCCACUGGGCUCUCAAACCUGUAAUUCAUUGAGUAUAUCCUUCGGCUACAGGAUCCAUGAUCAAUAUUAAUCAUGAUCAUGCAAGUUUUAUAUGAACCCUCUUUUAUUUACUUGAAUGAUGUUUUGUCCAAAAGAACUGUACGAAAGUUUAUGGUGACUAUGGCUUUCCUCGCAGAGUUGUUAUUGGGUUUUGAGAGUGACGUCUUGUUGAUUUAAUCAGUUGCUGUCACAUUUUGCAGAAAUGAUUUACAGUAUAACGUCCGAAUUAAAAGACUUGA